AAGAGACGCUUCUGAGCUCGGUUAAAGAGUUAUUUCUCUCUCCUGUUUCAGCCCAUGCAUGCGUUUCUGGGAAUCUUCUGAGCAGUGGCAGCGGGGGAAUUGUGAAAGAGCGAACGAGAGAAACGGCAAACGAAACCCGGCAGUCAAAGCGGGAGGCGACCAUGCUGCGAACGGUGCUACUCGGUUUCCUUCUCGUCCUGCCACUGAAAACUCACGGCUCUUUCUUCACUGUUGAGAGGACGUGAUGUUGGCUUUUACAUUGCUUCCUACAAUUUUCCUAAGCUGUAAGAACUUUGGUGUUUGGUGUUGUUACAGAUAUGGAAACUUAAA